CAAAGAGGGGUAAAUAUCCGCUCUGUAGUUAAACUCAGGGAGGAAAGUCCGGACACCGUAGGGUAGGAUACUUCUUAACGGGAAGCUUCAGUAAUGGAGAGCAGCUCCACAGAAAAGAAACCGCUUCGAGCGAGUUGCCACACUCAUAGGCAUCGCCUUGAGUGGUGGUAACCGAGCGGAGUAAGGGUGAAAUGGUAGUGUAAGAGACUACCGGGUAUGUCGGUGACGAUGUAUGCCAGGAAAGCCUUAUCUGGUGCAAUGCUAAAUAGGAGAACAGGGGCUUGCCCCGGUGCCGACCCGGCAUUAUGUUCUCGGGUAAGCAGCAAAAGUCAGCUUGACGUCUGUCGAGACCCCUUUAAGGGGAUAGUAAUAUCUGGCUUAGAUAAAUGGAUAUUCUUCUACUUAUUAGGUAGAUGACAGAAUCCGGCUUAAAUCCCUCUUUGAAAU
rnacentral:RNase_P_RNA from 1 species